GUUUAACGGCCGCGGUACCCUAACCGUGCGAAGGUAGCAUAAUCACUUGUUCUCUAAAUAGGGACUAGUAUGAACGGCACCACGAGGGCUUUACUGUCUCCUUUCUCCAAUCAGUGAAACUGAUCUCCCUGUGAAAAAGCAGGAAUAUUGAUAUUAGACGAGAAGACCCCAUGGAGCUUUAAACCCAACAACAACCCAAACGCUUCAACCCCUCACAGUUUUAAAGUACUGCUUGUUGGUUUUAGGUUGGGGUGACCGCGGAGAAUAAACUAACCUCCACGACGUAUGGGACUAACCCCUUACCCAAGAGCUACUCCUCAAAGGAUUAACAAAUUAACGUUAAAUGAUCCAACUUAUUGAUCAACGGACCAAGUUACCCUGGGGAUAACAGCGCAAUCCAUUUCUAGAGCCCCUAUCAAAAAAUGGGUUUACGACCUCGAUGUUGGAUCAGGGUAUCCCGGUGGUG
rnacentral:rRNA from 1 species